rnacentral:rRNA from 1 species
GCAAGUCGAGCGCACUCUUCGGAGUGAGCGGCGGACGGGUUAGUAACGCGUGGGAACAUACCCUUUUCUACGGAAUAGCCAUUGGAAACGAUGAGUAAUACCGUAUACGCCCUACGGGGGAAAGAAUUUCGCCUUUGGAUUGGCCCGCGUUGGAUUAGAUAGUUGGUGGGGUAACGGCCUACCAAGUCUACGAUCUAUAGCUGGUUUGAGAGGAUGAUC